GAGGAAACCAUCGAUGAAUAUAUUGACAGUCCAAAGAGGACAAGCGCUUUGGGACAACAUGACGACAAUUAAUGAGGUUGGAUCAAUAGGAAAAACUAAAAAGCCAUCCGAUAGUGCAUUCAAGCAACAGCGAUUACCAGCGUGGCAGCCGAUCCUUACAGCUGGCACCGUUUUGCCAACCUUCUUUAUAAUUGGCAUAGCAUUUAUCCCAGUUGGCAUAGGAUUAUUAUACUUUUCCGAUGAAGUGAAGGAACACACUAUAGAUUACACAAAUUGCGAGUCCAUAAAUAAGACUCGUGAUACCGGUAAGAAGUGUGCCGAAGUCAUCGUUGAGAAUCCUGGUUUAGACUGUUAUUGUAAAAUAGAUUUUACGUUGCCCAUUGACUUUGCUGGAAAGGUGUACAUGUAUUAUGGAUUAACUAACUUUUAUCAAAAUCAUCGGCGUUAUGUUAAAUCUCGUGAUGAUAAUCAGCUUUUGGGAAAAUUAAGCGAGAUAGUCUCAAGUGAUUGCGAGCCAUUUGCGUACAGAGAACCAAACGAUACAAAGAUCCCAAUAGUGCCUUGCGGUGCAAUCGCCAAUUCGCUUUUCAGUGAUGUUCUUACAUUAUAUUCGGUAAAACACGGCGAGUAUGUAUCGCUGCUUAACACAGGCAUUGCUUGGCCAUCUGAUAAGAAUAUUAAAUUUCGUAAUCCGGAAGGUGAUUUGGCAGAGGCAUUUAAAAAUUUUGAAAAGCCAAAGAAUUGGAAUAAACGCAUCUAUGAAUUAGAUCCCGAUAACAAUGAAAAUAAUGGCUUCCAAAACGAAGACUUAAUAGUGUGGAUGAGAACUGCUGCGUUGCCAACAUUCAGAAAGCUUUAUCGAAGAAUCGAUCAUAUGAAGGAGGGGUUUACCGAUGGAUUGCUUGCUGGAAACUACACUCUUCAUGUUAAUUAUUCUUAUCCAGUAUCUGCCUUCGAAGGGACAAAAAGAAUGAUUCUCAGUACCACGUCUCUCUUAGGUGGAAAGAAUCCAUUCCUUGGAAUCGCCUACAUAGUUGUAGGAUGUGUUUGUUUAGUCUUGGGUAUAGCACUGUUGGUUGUACAUGUCAAAUGUUCCAAGAGUACAAACGAGAUGAUCAACGUAUCAUGCAAUACGCCAUACCAGUGAGCUGGAGCUACAGGUUCAUCAAAUGUCUAUUUCGAACCAAGUGAACCUUCAGCGACUUUGGUUGUGCAUUUAGAGAAUAGAUCGUAAAAGUAUUUUACCAAUAUUGAAAGUUGUACAGUUACAAGCUGAUACAGGUUAGCAUUUGGAAGCCCAGCAAUCAUAUACAUAAAGUAUUUUUUAUAAACAAAACCACACAAUACAGAAUGUCUGCCCCCAUCCGAUACGUGAUACAGCGAUUACAUAUUUUCCAAGCAAAGUGUAAUAUAGAGCAUCUGGGAUGUCCGACCGUUAUAAAAUAAAAUCUAAUAUUAAAUAG
rnacentral:misc_RNA from 1 species